CCAGUCGCCCACCGAGAGUGGUAGGAAAGCUCGUCGCCGUACGGGGCUCGGCUCAGGUGAGAGCGAGCGUCGGGUACUGAGGCCGGAGGCGAUGCCGAUGGGCCGCCUCCGCGACGGGCGAGCCUUCCUCCACCGCGCGCUGGUCCUCUCGUCGCUGCUGCUCCUCGCCUCGGGCGAAAUCUUCUUCGAGGAGCGGUUCGAUGAUGGUUGGGAUAGCCGUUGGGUGAAAUCUGAUUGGAAGAAGAGCCAAGGACAAACCGGAACCUUCAGACACACAGCAGGAACCUAUUCUGGAGAUCCUGACGAUAAAGGUAUACAAACAACUGGGGAUGCCAAACAUUUUGCUAUAUCGGCAAAAUUCCCAGAAUUUAGUAACAAGGACCGGACAUUGGUGAUCCAGUACUCUCUAAAGAUUGAGCAAGACAUUGAAUGUGGUGGUGCUUACAUCAAACUUAUGUCUGGUUAUCUCAACCAGAAGAAGUUUGGCGGCGACACUCCUUACAGCUUCAUGUUUGGGCCUGAUAUAUGUGGGGAUCAGAAAAAGAAGCUUCAUCUCAUACUUUCAUACCAAGGGCAAAACUACCCUAUCAAGAAAGAUCUAAAAUGCGAAGCAGACAAGUUGACACAUUUUUACACAUUUAUUCUAAGACCUGAUGCCACUUAUAGCAUCCUUAUUGAUAACCGGGAGAGAGAAUUUGGAAGCAUGUACACUGACUGGGAUAUCCUUCCUCCUCGUAAGAUCAAAGAUGUUAAUGCGAAAAAGCCAAAAGACUGGGAUGACAGGGAAUAUAUUGAAGAUCCUGAUCAAGUUAAGCCAGAGGGAUAUGAUUCAAUUCCUAAACAGAUACCUAAUCCAAAGGACAAAAAGCCUGAGUCAUGGGAUGAUGACGAAGACGGUACAUGGAAGCCCAGAAUGAUACCUAAUCCAGAAUACAAGGGACCAUGGAAGCGGAAGAAAAUUAAGAAUCCUAACUACAAAGGAAAAUGGAAGACCCCGUGGAUUGACAAUCCAGAGUUUGAGGAUGACCCAGACCUAUAUGUUUUGAAACCUUUGCAGUAUGUGGGGAUUGAAGUCUGGCAGGUCAAAGCUGGUUCGGUUUUUGACAACAUUUUGAUUUGCGAUGAUCCAGACUAUGCAAGACAUGUUGUAGAUGAAACUUUUGCUGCAAAUAAGGAGGCUGAAAAAGAGGCCUUUGAAGGAGCUGAAAGGAAGAGGAAGGCUAGAGAAGAAGAGGAAGCACGGCGAGCACGGGAGGAAGGGGAGAGACGAAGGCGGGAGAGGGAUAGGGACCGUGGCAGGGACCGUUACAGGGAUAGAUAUAAGGUACAUUUCUUCCAUUUUCCAUACUGGAUCCCUUUUCCCUGUUGCAAUUAUGUUUGUCUUGUCCUUAGGACCUUCUUUCCCUCCAUUCUAAUUUAUAAUACAUUUUGGCUUUUCUAGAUACAUAACUUUUGCUAUGCACUUAGAUAUACACUAUGUCUAUAUAUAAGUAUAGUUAAAGCCAAAACGUCUUAUAAUUUGGAAUGGGGUAGUUCAAUAUUCCAUCCCCUUAAUUUACACUAGCCUUCUUAAGGAUUAUUAUCUCGCCAAAAGUUUCAGGCUACUACUGGUCCUUGCUUCCCUGUAGAUCAGUGAUAUAAAUCACUGCACGAAUAAUAUGACAAUAUAAUAGACGUGGCCCGCACACCUAUGAAGAAUUUCAGCAUCUUCACUCCAGUGAACAAAUUUAGCAAAAUAUGUGCCAAGUAUUCAUAGCUCUUAGCUGCACAGUCAGUCUCAGUAAUAUGGCCCAGUGCUUUAUAUAUCAACCAUAUGCUAACAUAUUGUUUCUUUCCUCUGCAUUUGCAGCGCCAUAGACACUACGACUACCAUGACGAGCUAUAGAUCAUGUGUUUUGAAAUCUGCACGUUAUUGGUUGUCUAUGGAACUGGGCCUUGAUGAUUGUGUCAAUAAGGUGUACCACUUCAGGGCGAGCACAGAUGUUUGAAGUCCUUAACCGUACUGUUACAGUCGUUGAGAGCACACGCACACGUGCAGAACUUGUAUGUUGUACACACGAAUCAAGCUGAAUUUGUGAUUUUUGGCGAUGGGUAGAGAUUGACCAUCGCGGCUGUAACUAAAUUUCCCCAUUGCGAGGCAAUAUGAGCUGUAGUAUCCUUGCACUAUCAUUUACCUCGAAAUGUUAUAUUCGUGCUGCAUACGUUGAUAAA